GGAUUGUGGCUCAGUGGCAGAGUGCUUGCCUAGCAUGUGGGAGGCACUGGGUUCCAUUCUCAGCACCA
rnacentral:tRNA from 1 species